rnacentral:rRNA from 1 species
GACGAACGCUGGCGGCGUGGAUUAGGCAUGCAAGUCGAACGGUAUCAUCCUUUCGGGGGUGAGAGAGUGGCGAACUGGUGAGUAACACGUAGGUUAUCUACCCUCAAGACGGGGACAACCCAGGGAAACUUGGGCUAAUACCGGAUGUGAGCAACUUUUAGUUGUUUGAAAGGUGGCGUAAGCUGUCGCUUGGGGAUGAGCCUGCGUCCUAUUAGUUAGUUGGUGAGGUAACGGCUCACCUAGGCAAUGAUAGGUAGGCGGCCUUAACGGGUGGUCGCCCACACUGGGAUUGAGAUACGGCCCAGACUCCUACGGGAGGCAGCAGUCGAGAAUAGUCUACAAUGGUCGGAAGACUGAUAGUGCGACGCCGCGUGAACGAUGAAUCCCUUCGGGGUGUAAAGUUCUUUUAUAUGUGAGCAGUGCUUCUUAUAUUAACAGUAUGGGGAAAGAGAUAUAGCUAUAUAGAAUAAGACGAACGGUACCUUAACCUCCGGUCGCCGACGACGACGGCCCGUACGGGUAACUCGUUAACG